GACGAACGCUGGCGGCGUGCUUAACACAUGCAAGUCGAACGGGCCCGCUCUCUUUUUUGGGGGUGGGUUGAGUGGCGAACGGGUGAGUAUCCCGUGAGUAACCUGCCCCCUGCUCCUGGAUAACUGCUUGAAAGGGCGGCUAAUACGGGGUGUGCCGGCUGGUCCGCAUGGGCCUGGUCGGGAUAGUUUCAUCUUCGGGUGUUUCGGUGGGGGAUGGGCUCGCGGCCUAUCAGCUUGUUGGUGGGGUGAUGGCCCACCAAGGCGGUGACGGGUAGCCGGCCUGAGAGGGUGGGCGGCCACACUGGGACUGAGACACGGCCCAGACUCCGGCGGGAGGAAGCAGUGGGGGGUAUUGCACAAUGGGCGGAAGCCUGAUGCAGCGACGUCGCGUGAGGGAUGGAGGCCUUCGGGUGGUGAACCUCUUUCUCCGGUGGUGAAGGCCCUGUCCGUUGCGGCGGGGUUGACGGUAGCCGGGUAUGAAGCGCCGGCUAACUACGUG
rnacentral:rRNA from 1 species